rnacentral:rRNA from 1 species
UACAGAGGUCCCAAGCGUUGUUCGGAUUCAUUGGGCGUAAAGGGUGCGUAGGCGGCGCGGUAAGUCGGGUGUGAAAUCUCGGGGCUUAACUCCGAAACUGCAUUCGAUACUGCCGUGCUUGAGGACUGGAGAGGAGACUGGAAUUUACGGUGUAGCGGUGAAAUGCGUAGAUAUCGUAAGGAAGACCAGUGGCGAAGGCGGGUCUCUGGACAGUUCCUGACGCUGAGGCGCGAAAGCGUGGGGAGCAAUCAGG